UACGAAGGGUGCAAGCGUUACUCGGAAUUACUGGGCGUAAAGCGUGCGUAGGUGGUUUGUUAAGUCUGAUGUGAAAGCCCUGGGCUCAACCUGGGAACUGCAUUGGAAACUGGCUUACUAGAGUGCGGUAGAGGGGUGUGGAAUUCCCGGUGUAGCAGUGAAAUGCGUAGAUAUCGGGAGGAACAUCUGUGGCGAAGGCGACACCCUGGACCAGCACUGACACUAAGGCACGAAAGCGUGGGGAGCAAACAGG
rnacentral:rRNA from 1 species